rnacentral:rRNA from 1 species
AGAGUUUGAUCCUGGCUCAGAGUAAACGCUGGCGGCGUGCUUAACACAUGCAAGUCGAGCGAGAAAGCUUCUUCGGAAGUUAGUACAGCGGCGGACGGGUGAGUAACGCGUGGGAAUCUACCCUUUAGUGAGGAAUACCCUCGAGAAAUCGAGGUUAAUACUGCAUACGUCCCUCCGGGGAGAAAGGUGGCCUCUUUGCUGCCGCUAAAGGAUGAGCCUACGUACUAUUAGCUAGUUGGUAGGGUAAAGGCCUACCAAGGCGAUGAUGGUUAGCCGGCCUGAGAGGGUGUACGGCCACACUGGAACUUAGACACGGUCCAGACUCCUACGGGAGGCAGCAGUGGGGAAUCUUGCGCAAUGGGCGAAAGCCUGACGCAGCGACGCCGCGUGGAGGAUGAAGGUCUUCGGAUUGUAAACUUCUGUUAAGUGGGAGGAAAUGCCGAUUAAUAAUACGAAUCGGAGCUGACUGUACCAUUAGAGAAAGCACCGGCUAAACUCGUGCCAGCAGCCGCGGUAAUACGAGUGGUGCAAGCGUUAUUCGGAAUCAUUGGGCGUAAAGGGUGUGUAGACGGUAUGUUAAGUCAAUUGUUAAAUUCCCCGGCCUAACCGGGGGCCAACAGUAGAUACUGGCGUGCUAGAGGGUGGAAGAGAGAAGUGGAAUUCUCGGAGUAGCGGUAAAAUGCGUAGAUCUCGAGAGGAACACCAAUGGCGAAGGCAGCUUCUUGGUCCAUUUCUGACGUUGAAACACGAAAGCGUGGGGAGCAAACAGGAUUAGAUACCCUAGUAGUCC